UCUAAUAUGGCAGAAUAGUGCGUUGGAUUUAAGCCCCAGAUAUAAAGAUAAUUUUAUUAGAA
rnacentral:tRNA from 1 species